GAUGAACGCUGGCGGCGUGCCUAAUACAUGCAAGUCGAGCGAACAGACGAGGAGCUUGCUCCUCUGACGUUAGCGGCGGACGGGUGAGUAACAUGUGGAUAACCUACCUCUAAGACUGGGAUAACUUCGGGAAACCGGAGCUAAUACCGAAUAAUAUAUUGAACCGCAUGGUUCAAUAGUGAAAGACGGUUUUGCUGUCACUUAUAGCUGGCUCCGCGCCGCAUUAGCUAGUUGGUACGGUAACGGCUUACCACGGCAACGCUGCGUAGCCGACCUGAGAGGGUGAUCGGCAGCACGGGAGAGGAGACGCGCGCCAGACUCCUAAGGGAGGCAGCAGUAGGGAAUCUACGGCAAGGGGCGGAAGCCUAACGGAGCAACGGCGCGGGAGUGAUAAAGAUCGUCGGAGCGUGAAACACGGUUAUUAUGGAAGAACAAAUGUGUAAGGAACUAGGCACAUCUUGACGGUAGCUGAAGAAAAAGCCACGGCUAACUACGUG
rnacentral:rRNA from 1 species